AAAAAAUCGCUGAAAAAGCUGAAAUGGCCCUGCAUUCCAUGGUUGAAGACUACCAAAAUUCUACUUGUUUGGAUUUUUGAUUUCUCUUUGUUAGCUAAAGUACUUGAAAAUUUUACUGGAUACACUUCUGGUUUGAGAAUGACUUGAAUUUUAGUUUGAAGCUGGGUUUGGAUUAGUUAUUCCUCUACUUUUCAUUGAUUGCUCUUGAGCUGAUUUCACUGUUCUACUGCUGAAUUUAGGAUUCUGUUUUGUUGCUGCUGCCUACUGAUCCCUUACUUAUUUUUGCUCUUCCCUUAUUUCCAGGUACAUGAUCUCUGAAUUCUACCUCAUGUGAGGCUUGACUUGACGAAUGAAAGAAAAGCAGAAGUUUAAAGCAUAGCAUUGGUUAUUUUGUAAUUCAAUUGCAUUUCUUUUGAUAUUUUUUCUUAGUAACUUGAUGUAUUAUAUCGUCUAGUGAGUUCUGGUUUGGAUAGUGAACUUUUACUAUUGUAUUUAACUUAGGACUAUUAUGA
rnacentral:lncRNA from 1 species